rnacentral:tRNA from 1 species
GCCGGGGUGGCGAAAUUGGUAGACGCAGCGGAUUCAAAAUCCGCCGGGGCGACCCUUGCCGGUUCGAGUCCGGCCCUCGGUACCA